GCUCGGGUGGUGGAAUCGGUAGACACGCUGGACUUAAAAUCCAGUGGACAGAAAUGUCCGUAUGGGUUCAAGUCCCAUCCCGAGUA
rnacentral:tRNA from 2 species